rnacentral:SRP_RNA from 1 species
GAAACGGCCCUGCGCAGCAGGUGGAUGUGAACCCCGUCAGGUCCGGAAGGAAGCAGCGGUAAGCGUUUCAACCUGAGUGCCGGAGGUAGUCGUUUCCGG